CAAAUUUGAAAUCUGGCUCUCGGGCCCGAGUUGUAAUUUGUAGAGGAUGCUUUUGGCGAGGUGCCUUCUGAGUUCCCUGGAACGGGACGCCAGAGAGGGUGAGAGCCCCGUAUAGUCGGACACCUAGCCUCUGUAAAGCUCCUUCGACGAGUCGAGUAGUUUGGGAAUGCUGCUCAAAAUGGGAGGUAUAUCUCUUCUAAAGCUAAAUAUAGGCCAGAGACCGAUAGCGCACAAGUAGAGUGAUCGAAAGAUGAAAAGCACUUUGAAAAGAGGGUUAAAUAGCACGUGAAAUUGUUGAAAGGGAAGCGCUUGUGACCAGACUUGUGCCGGGCUGAUCAUCCAGUGUUCUCACUGGUGCACUCGACCCGGCUCAGGCCAGCGUCGGUUCUCGUAGGGGGACAAAAGCUUCGGGAACGUGGCUCCUUCGGGAGUGUUAUAGCCCGUUGCUUAAUACCCUUGUGGGGACCGAGGUUCGCGCUCUGCAAGGACGCUGGCAUAAUGGUCAUCAGCGACCCGUCUUGAAACACGGACCAUGGAGUCGAGGUUUUGCGCGAGUGUUUGGGUGUAAAACCCGCACGCGUAAUGCAAGUGAACGUAGGUGAGAGCUUCGGCGCAUCAGCGACCGAUCCUGAUGUAUUCGGAUGGAUUUGAGUAAGAGCGUAUAGCCUCGGACCCGAAAGAUGGUGAACUAUGCCUGAAUAGUGUGAAGCCAGAGGAAACUCUGGUGGAGGCUCGCAGCGGUUCUGACGUGCGAAUCGAUCGUCA
rnacentral:rRNA from 1 species